rnacentral:misc_RNA from 1 species
UUAAAAGUGACAAGAGGAAAUAUUUAAUAUUGUAAAUAGGCAGAACCCAUGGUAACCAAGCUUUUUUAUAAUAGCAAGACGCUUGCGGAGGAAAAUAAUUAAAAAAGCUAAUAGAAGAAAUUGGAGGUUAGAUAGGCACAAGAAGAAAAGGGGAACUUGGGAGAAUAGGAAAAUAUGAAAAAAGGGAAUCCAUAAAAGAAAAGUCAAAAUUUUCAGACAACAAGAAUCAUCAUCUGCAUCUGCCAUGUAUAUUCUUCAAAACAAAUUUCCUUUAAAGAAAACAAAGUCCAUAAUUCAGUCAGAUAUUAUUCAUUAAUCACUUCCAAGUUAUUAGAUUUUUAUCAAUUGAACUUGUGGAUUGAUCCUAGAUCCCUGCACUCAGGAAGAGCAAAAUUCAUCUUAUAUCAAAAUAAAUAGUAGCAUCCAAUUCUCUCU